rnacentral:rRNA from 1 species
GAUGAACGCUGGCGGCGUGCCUAAUACAUGCAAGUCGAGCGAACGGACGAGAAGCUUGCUUCUCUGAUGUUAGCGGCGGACGGGUGAGUAACACGUGGAUAACCUACCUAUAAGACUGGGAUAACUUCGGGAAACCGGAUCUAAUACCGGAUAAUAUUUUGAACCGCAUGGUUCAAAAGUGAAAGACGGUCUUGCUGUCACUUAUAGCUGGAUCCGCGCUGCAUUAGCUAGUUGGUAAGGUAACGGCUUACCAAGGCAACGAUGCAUAGCCGACCUGAGAGGGUGAUCGGCCACACUGGAACUGAGACACGGUCCAGACUCCUACGGGAGGCAGCAGUAGGGAAUCUUCCGCAAUGGGCGAAAGCCUGACGGAGCAACGCCGCGUGAGUGAUGAAGGUCUUCGGAUCGUAAAACUCUGUUAUUAGGGAAGAACAUAUGUGUAAGUAACUGUGCACAUCUUGACGGUACCUAAUCAGAAAGCCACGGCUAACUACGUG